UAGGGAAUCUUCGGCAUGGACGAAAGUCUGACCGAGCAACGCCGCGUGAGUGAAGAAGGUUUUCGGAUCGUAAAACUCUGUUGGUAGAGAAGAACGUUGGUGAGAGUGGAAAGCUCAUCAAGUGACGGUAACUACCCAGAAAGGGCGGCUAACUACGUGCCAG
rnacentral:rRNA from 1 species